rnacentral:rRNA from 1 species
UUCGGACUGCAGGCUGCAACUCGCCUGCACGAAGCCGGAGUUGCUAGUAAUCGCGGAUCAGAAUGCCGCGGUGAAUGCGUUCCCGGGUCUUGUACGCACCGCCCGUCACACCAUGGAAGUUGGGGGUGCCCAAAGCCGGCAGGGAAAUAUGCUGUCUAAGGCAAAACCAAUGACUGGGGUGAAGUCGUAACAAGGUAGC